CUAGAAUGUAGGGUUUUUUUUAAGAUUUUAUUUAUUUAUUAUGUAUACAACAUGCUGCCUCCACAUAUGCCUGCAUGCCAGAAGAGGGCACCAGAUCUCAUAAUGGAUGGUUGUGAGCCACCAUGUAGUUGCUGGGAAUUGAACUCAGGACUUCAGGACCUCUGGAAGAGCAGCCAGUGCUCUUAAGCUCUGAGCCAUCUCUCCAGCCCCGAAUGUAGGUUUUUGUACAUGUCAAAAAUAUGUUGUUUAUCUGUGAUUUACCCCCAGCUUGAAAUUCGAAAUUUGGCAGAGGGUAUCAUUCUCUUUCCCAGAAUGGCAGGAUUCAUGACAUUAGUAUUCCUGGGCCUUGUGAGUUAUUGGAUUACAGGAUGCAGUGACCUAUAAUGAUAUGCAUGUUAACUUCACUUGGGAAGAGUGCGCUUUGCUGGAUUCUUCCCAGAAGAAUCUCUACAAAGAUGUGAUGCUAGAGACCUAAAAGCAUGUACCUCACUACUAUAGGCAUGAAAGAAAUCAUCCUGGAGAGAAACCUUCUGAAUAUACACAAUGUAUUAAAGGCUUUGCAGAUCACUUUCAUCUUCAAUAGCAUAAAAGAAUUCGUACUGGAGAGAAACCUUCUGACAGUAUUCAAUAUGAUGAAGCCUUUGCAUGUCACAAGAAUCCCCAAACUCAUCAAAGAACACAUACUAGAGAGAAACCCUAUGUGGUAAUCAAUGUGGUAAAACCUUUGUAUGUCAAAGUAGUCUCCAUAUACAUAAAAGUAUUUUCAUGUAUCAGUAAUCUUUGAAAACAUAAGAAAAUACUGCAGAGAAACCCUCUAAAUGUAUAAAGAUGAUCAAAGUUUUGCAAAUCAUGGUAGUCUUUAUACAAGAGUAAAACUUUUAGUGUGUAAUUAGUACAUUAAAGCCAUUGUAUGUAAUAGACUUUGAAGAUCCAAUAAAACUCAUACCAAAGAGUAUCUGAAUAUAAAUCAUUUGAUAAGAUCUUUAGCUAAUACACAUUCAGUUACACAGGACUAUUCUGUAGAAAAAAUGACAA
rnacentral:lncRNA from 1 species